rnacentral:rRNA from 1 species
GACGAACGCUGGCGGCGUGCUUAACACAUGCAAGUCGAACGGAAAGGCCCUGCUUUUGCGGGGUGCUCGAGUGGCGAACGGGUGAGUAACACGUGAGUAACCUGCCCUUGACUUUGGGAUAACUUCAGGAAACUGGGGCUAAUACCGGAUAGGAGCUCCUGCUGCAUGGUGGGGGUUGGAAAGUUUCGGCGGUUGGGGAUGGACUCGCGGCUUAUCAGCUUGUUGGUGGGGUAGUGGCUUACCAAGGCUUUGACGGGUAGCCGGCCUGAGAGGGUGACCGGCCACAUUGGGACUGAGAUACGGCCCAGACUCCUACGGGAGGCAGCAGUGGGGAAUAUUGCACAAUGGGCGGAAGCCUGAUGCAGCAACGCCGCGUGCGGGAUGACGGCCUUCGGGUUGUAAGCCGCUUUCGCCUGUGACGAAGCGUGAGUGACGGUAAUGGGUAAAGAAGCACCGGCUAACUACGUG